CUCUGUGCCACAGCGCCAUCUGGCGUUUAAAACCAUAAUCACAAACAACUUUUUAUCUGUUUGAGUGUUUUUUGUUCUUCGGUGGCAGGAUGCAGCCAGAGCCUUCAGACAAAAGCCAGUUGUUCAACUCUCUGAAGUCUUAUCUCAACGACAAGACCAGAAGACAGCCCUACAUUGGCCUGCGCAGCAUCUUCGAGUGUGUGAAUGUGGGCUCGGACAACAGAGAAACCUUGUACUUGUGUGAGGUCUGCGUUCGCCGGGUCACCAAGGCCGAUAUCCGGAACCACAUACAGGGAAGUCGCCACAUCUUCAGCUACAUCAAAACCUGUCAUCCCCAUUUGGCGUAUAAGUGGCAGAAGGACGCGGAUCUUUCGAUGCUGGCUAGGCCGCUGAUAGAGUUGGCCACGGUUGUGGAGAGAAAAGAGGGAACCGGAGAAGUCCAGUUGUUUGAAGUUCCUGAUGCUGUUUACCAGAAGAUGGCUACAGAGAGUGAACAUUACGCUGUAGCUCUGAUAAACGUCUUACGAGACAGAGGGGCGAAUCAGGGAGUCUUCUCAGAAAUGCUCUCCUUACAUUAUCCCGUCGAGUCACAGAGGGUCGUUCUGCUGACACAAACCCAACCAGAAGACACGAAACCGCACAAGGUGUCGGCACAAAACGAAGGUCUACGACGUCCUCCAGCACCUCAUACGAAGAACACUCAGACGUCAUCCAAGAACAGCAGGAGCUCUGUGGAGGACUUCUCAGGGGGCACACCUCCGAUUGGUCUUUCUCGUGUCGUUGGGUUUAAAAGUGAAUGUGGGAGAUUGCAGUGUUUCCUGUGUCACUGCUGCCGCGUCAGAUCCAGCACGCGUGACAUCACCGAUCACCUGACCAGCUCCUCUCACCUGUUCAACUACCUGAUGGAAACGCACCCCAGCUUACUGGAGGGGAUGAGUGAGAAUUCUGAAGCCAACUUCCAUCUUCUCCCAUCUCUGGCUCACAAAGUGGAACAACUGGAGGGCGGAGGACAGAUGGAGAUAGUAAAUGUCCCAGAAUCCUUCUGUAAGCAACUCUCUGGCAAAAGUUACCACUGGUGUUUGACGAUGCAGUCGAGUGGGUGGGUUGACCUCAACGUCCCAGUCAAAAAAGAAGCUGUCAAAGGUGUGGCCAAGCCUGCAGAGUCGAGGAUAAACACCAUUGCCGUGGUGCGACGAGCAAAGAAGAAGAAGAGGAGGAGGAAGGGAGAGAUUAAUACAGUGUUCAGCAUACGCAUGCCUGUCCAUAAAGGCGCCGUCUUGGUGGAGAGGACGUCUUUCAACCAGGGAGACCUCCAUGGGCUGCCUGCUUCAUCCUUAUCUCACCCGGGUCCUGUUUCACGGGCCGACUGCGAGACUUUAGAGAUCAACCAAGAGGAAAUUCCUUCAGAGGUGGACGGUUCACCGUUGAAGCAGCAGGUAGAGGAGGAUUAUGGUGGAUUUGCAGCAGAAGAACAAAUCAAAGUCACCAUUUCUCAAGAUACAAGUGAAAACUUCCCCCCGUUUGUGGAGAGCGAGUAUGAUGGACGUGGUUCUGAGGAAAGAUCCGGACAUAACGGGUACGGAGACUGGAUUAAUGAAGGAGCUUGGAGCGAGAGACCGUUGCCUCCUGAGCACCACGGUAACGGCUGGUCUGACUCUCACUACGGACGGGAGUGGGGGGAUCCUGGUCUGCAGUCCGGACUGAAACAACCGAGACACGAGGCGGGAAACGGGAACACACACUCCGGUUCAUUUGAGCGUUACGGACGGCAGCAGCAUCAGACGGCGUGGGCUGGCUGCGGGCCUCGUCCGGGCAGCCCGCGCAGGAAUCCCGACUUGUCCGGUGAAGUAGAAUCGUUUAUAGAAACCGCUCGGACAAAUGUGCAGACUUACUCGGGGGGUGCUCCGUCUCAGAGCGGCAGCAUCUCCGAGCCCAGUUUCAUCAGCUGGAUCCCGUUAGAUUACAGCCGGUACCAGACCGCUCCGCAGGACUACACCACUCCGUAUGCAGACCAUCACAUCAGCCAGAUAAACCAGGUGUGCACGUUUUACUGCAACCACCACCAGACUGGCUACGACACAACCUCCAUCCACCACCCAGCUGGCCCGGUGAGCGGCAGCGGUUAUGGAGAAGCCGCCGGCUGGAGUUCGAUGCAUCCGAAUGCUUUCAUUCAGCCCGGGGUUUACGGCCCCGGUUCCGAUGUUUACUUCAGAGCUGGAAUUCCCUACUGAAUGGAAGCACUUCCUGAAUCUCCCUGGGAUCUGAUCACAUUUUGGCCUUCAGGGAUGUUUAAAACAAGUUUACCUCAUUUCUCUAUUACGAAUCUUCUACUGAAGGAAGUUUGACGUUAUUAUUUGACUAAACAUAUUUAGAUUAAAAUAGAGAAACUUGAUUUGUGUUCAUCUUGGAUUAAAGUUUGAACAGUUAAACUGAAGGCCAGAUUGUGAAAGAUGCAUUAUGCCUUUUGCAGGUGGAUGUUGCAUUAUUUUCUUUUAAAACUGACCGUCAUUUAAUAGAAACCCGAACAAAAGUCUUGUUUUGAUCCUACCAGAGUUUAGGAUGUUUGCUCAGAAAACAUGUUUUAUGUUUGAAUGUUUCAGGUCGGAGUGUUCCAGUUGGAAAAAACAACAGCUGAAUGUGUUCACGCUCACGUUUUACACGGAUAAUUGUGUUCGUGUUAACUUCAAAGAACAAUUAGCUGUUCAGUUUAUUCAAUUCUGUUAUGUUGCCACUAUAUGUGUUUAUUUUAGUAUUAUCUAUCAGCAGUGUUAACGUCAGUGUUGGGAUGUUCGUGUGUUUAGAAGUUAUUUGUUUUCUGUGCACCUUAAUUUUUUCCUUAUCUUUACAAUCUGAUCAUUAUUGCAGUGAUUGUUUUUUUUUUGUAUUGUGUAAUGUUUUGGUUUAGUUGACCCGUUUUACUCCAAAUGGAAGAAGAAAAUCUUUUUUUGUGGCUGCUCCUGAUAAAAGAUUCAAAAUGAGGCGAUGCUGCAUAACGGAAUGUGACGAUCAAUAAAAAUGCAAACAUUUCCAAAUCCUGCUUUAUUUCUGUUUUGCAUACGAUUGCUGGUUUUUAGAUGGUAAACAAAUAUAUUGGGAAAUGAAUGUUGCCGUGGGAACAAAAAACAAAAUAACACCAACAAAGUCAUUAUGUACAAUUAUAUUGGAGAUUAAAUUAUAUAUAUAUAUA
rnacentral:lncRNA from 1 species